rnacentral:rRNA from 1 species
UACGUAGGGGGCAGGCGUUGUCCGGAUUUAUUGGGCGUAAAGAGCGUGUAGGCGGCCUUACAGGUCAGCUGUGAAAACUCGAGGCUCAACCUCGAGACGUCGGUUGAAACCGUAAGGCUAGAGUCCGGAAGAGGAGAGUGGAAUUCCCGGUGUAGCGGUGAAAUGCGCAGAUAUCGGGAAGAACACCCGUGGCGAAGGCGGCUCUCUGGGACGGUACUGACGCUGAGACGCGAAAGCGUGGGGAGCGAACAGG